GACGAACGCUGGCGGCGUGCUUAACACAUGCAAGUCGAACGGAAAGGCCCUGCUUUUGUGGGGUGCUCGAGUGGCGAACGGGUGAGUAACACGUGAGUAACCUGCCCUUGACUUUGGGAUAACUUCAGGAAACUGGGGCUAAUACCGGAUAGGAGCUCCUGCUGCAUGGUGGGGGUUGGAAAGUUUCGGCGGUUGGGGAUGGACUCGCGGCUUAUCAGCUUGUUGGUGGGGUAGUGGCUUACCAAGGCUUUGACGGGUAGCCGGCCUGAGAGGGUGACCGGCCACAUUGGGACUGAGAGACGGCCCAGACUCCUACGGGAGGCAGCAGUGGGGAAUAUUGCAGAAUGGGCGGAAGCCUGAUGCAGCAACGCCGCGUGCGGGAUGACGGCCUUCGGGUUGUAAACCGCUUUCGCCUGUGACGAAGCGUGAGUGACGGUAAUGGGUAAAGAAGCACCGGCUAACUACGUG
rnacentral:rRNA from 1 species